rnacentral:lncRNA from 1 species
CUUUUACUUCUCUCCCUUCUGUAGCUGCUAAGCCCGGUGACCUUCACUAUUUAACAGCUUCAUCAGAGUGAAAGGAUUGCCUUGAUGUCCAUAAGGAUUACUUGUUUUGAACUGACCUUUAAAAGGUUGACACUAACGAGAUUUUUCAGUGCAUUGUUGAGGUCAUUGGACAGUGUUCUUUAAUCACUGUUGGUGGCAUUUGUUGCCUAUUUGUGGUAGAGACUUUCUUUUAAUUGCUUUAAUCAAUUAGUGCAUUUCUUUGAUAGUAUGUGGGGUGGAAUAUAAUUGGCCUUUGUUCAGAUAAGCAUGUGCCAGGAAUUCCUCCAUCAGUAUAUUUAUUAAGCUGCUCACAGGUUCUCAGAUAAUGGCAACCCGUACAUGCAAGGAAGAGGAUUUGUGAAAUAUAGUCUUUUAUGGAGGCACAUUGCUUCCUGGAAUAUUAAAAGGUUCUACCAUGAGAUAUCACGUCGUAUCCAUCAGGAUGGCUAAUGUCAAAAAGACAGACGAUAACAAGGGUUGACGAGGAUGUGGUGAAAUUGGAACCCUCAUUCAUUGCUGGCAGGAUUGUAAAGUGGGACAGCCACUUUGGAAAACAGUUCCUCAGAAUGUUAAACAUUGGGUAACCAUAUGACCCAGCAAUUCCAGUCAUGUAUACCCAAGAGAACUGAAAACAUAUGUCCACACAAAAGCCUGUACAUGACUGUUCACAGCAACAUUAUUCAUGAUAACCAAAAAGUUUAAACCGCCCAAACAUCCAUCGACUGAUGAACGUAUAAACAAAAUGUGGUAUAUCCGUGCAGUAGAAUCUCAUUCACCAUAAAAAGGAACAGAGUACGGAUUCCUACUAUAACAUGGGUUGACAUUGAAAAAAUUAUCCUGAGUGAAAGAAGCCAAACACAGAAUGCCACAUAUUGUAUGAUUUGGUUUAUCUGGAAUCUUUGCAGACAGAAAUUAGACUGGGGGAAGUAGGGAGUAACUGCUAAUGGAUAUGGGAUUUCUUUCUGAGGUGGUGAAAAUGUUCUAAAAUUAAUCGUGCUGAUGGUUGUAUGCCUCUGAAUAUAGUAAAAAGCUACUGAAUGGUACACUUUAAAGGGUGAGUUUCAUGGUAUGUGAAUUAUAUCUCAAUAAAGCUGUUAUAAAAACACAA